UUUCCAUUAUUCAUCUCUUUCUUCUUCUUCUUCUUUUUCUUUUUUUGAUCAAUGAGUUGAAGGUUGAUAAGUUAGCAUUGAUUAGGGAGACUUAACCUUCCUUGAUUCAAAUCUAAUUCAUUCCAUUAUUCAUCUCUUUCUUCUUCUUCUUCUUUUUCUUUUUUUGAUCAAUGAGUUGAAGGUUGAUAAGUUAGCAUUGAUUAGGGAGACUUAACCUUCCUUGAUUCAAAUCUAAUUCAUCUUGAUCAAUU
rnacentral:lncRNA from 1 species